rnacentral:rRNA from 1 species
AGUGAACGCUGGCGGUAGGCCUAACACAUGCAAGUCGAACGGCAGCACAGUAAGAGCUUGCUCUUACGGGUGGCGAGUGGCGGACGGGCGAGGAAUACAUCGGAAUCUACUUUUUCGUGGGGGAUAACGUAGGGAAACUUACGCUAAUGCCGCAUACGACCUACGGGUGAAAGCAGGGGAUCUUCGGACCUUGCGCGAUUGAAUGAGCCGAUGUCGGAUUAGCUAGUUGGCGGGGUAAAGGCCCACCAAGGCGACGAUCCGUAGCUGGUCUGAGAGGAUGAUCAGCCACACUGGAACUGAGACACGGUCCAGACUCCUACGGGAGGCAGCAGUGGGGAAUAUUGGACAAUGGGCGCAAGCCUGAUCCAGCCAUACCGCGUGGGUGAAGAAGGCCUUCGGGUUGUAAAGCCCUUUUGUUGGGAAAGAAAAGCAGCAGGUUAAUACCCCGCUGUUCUGACGGUACCCAAAGAAUAAGCACCGGCUAACUUCGUG